UCCCCACCCUUCCCCAUCGCUCUCUCCCUCGUGACGACUGCGAGCUCAACUGUGCUCUUCCCCAUCGCUCUCUCCCUCGUGAAGACUGCGAGCUCGACUGCGCUCUUCGCUGCUCGAUUAUGCUUUUUGCUGCUCGAUUGCGCUCUUCGCUGUCCUGGGGCGUCGUCUGAGGUUUGAGUUAAGCAUUUUAUCCACUUCUUCCUCGACGCAAUCCCAGAGCCGAAAGGCUGUCUUGCUUCGAUGCUUCAAUGCUUUAGAAGCACUCGUUUCAACUCCGUUUUAUCCAAUUCGAGAGCCACCCAAGAUGGUCAUGAUUCAUGCUUCUCCUUACAAGGGGGUAAGCAAGAUGAGGGUAGAUACAAGCACACAGUUGCUCUACCUAGGACAAGUUUUGGGAUGAGAGCAAAUGCUUCUGUUAGAGAGCCAGAAAUACAGAAAUCGUGGGACGAAAACCAGGUGUUUGAAAGGAUUGUCAGCAGAAACAGUGGGCUUCUUCAGAAUUAUAAAGUACACUAUGUUCUUGGUUAGGAUUGACAUGGCCUACCAAUUGAACUAAAAGGCAUGUACUUUUAAGUUAUAUCUGUAUACUUCAGUUAUCUGUGGAGCACAACCUUGUAUUUGUGUAUGUGAAAUACUUCUGACUAGUGACACGCAUUCAUUUAUUCCUUCGUCGUAGUGCUACAGUCAUUAGACAAAGAUGCCAGGAAAGACCUCACUCCAAUUAAGUUGAGAGAAAAGGCAGAGAAAUUUGCCAAGUCCACUGUUAAAACUUAGAUGGCAUCAUUCAAGCGAUAUGGGGUGUGGGCUGCCUGGAAUAACCCUUACCUUACUCUUGAUCCUGAGUAUGAAGAAGAAGUGGAAGACUUUGAAGAGUAUGCCAAGUUAUUCAUAUACAAAGCAAAUGAAAAUUGUGAUAGCAACGAUGACUUUGCACAAUUAUAUACAAAAAAAUGCCCUGAAUGAUGCACAUUUUGUUAGAGUGGAUUUAUAUCUCAAUUUAUGUACAAUAGAUUCUGAUGAUGUAAAUGGGGAGGGUAAUGAUUCAAAUGAUGAUGUAGCAUUUGAUAUGGCACGCUUACGCGAUCAAAUGGCUAUGAAUUUAUGAAGUAAUUAAGGAUAUUUGUAAUUUUUAAGGAUAAUGAGCUUCUUUCCUCAAAA